CAAUAGCGUAUAUUAAAGUUGUUGCAGUUAAAAAGCUCGUAGUCGGAUUUUGGCAUCACGCCGAACUGUCUGCCGAUUGGUAAGUACGGUUUGGCGGGUGCUUCUUUCUUGAAGCUCGUUCCCUUCUUAACUGAAGGGUUCGUUGGUUCAGGUUCUUUUACUUUGAGAAAAUUAGAGUGUUCAAAGCAGGCCUAAGCUCUGAAUAGGUUAGCAUGGAAUAAUAGAAUAGGACUUUGGUUCUAUUUUGUUGGUUUCUAGGACCGAAGUAAUGAUUAAUAGGGACAGUUGGGGGCAUUCAUAUUCCAUUGUCAGAGGUGAAAUUCUUGGAUUAACGGAAGAUGAACUUCUGCGAAAGCAUCUGCCAAGGAUGUUUUCAUUGA
rnacentral:rRNA from 1 species